rnacentral:rRNA from 1 species
AUUGAACGCUGGCGGCAUGCCUUACACAUGCAAGUCGAACGGUAGAGGGGCAACCCUCGAGAGUGGCGAACGGGUGAGUAAUGCAUCGGAACGUACCCAGUUGUGGGGGAUAGCUCGGCGAAAGCCGGAUUAAUACCGCAUACGCACUGAGGUGGAAAGCGGGGGACUCGCAAGGGCCUCGCGCAGUUGGAGCGGCCGAUGUCAGAUUAGCUAGUUGGUGGGGUAAAGGCCUACCAAGGCGACGAUCUGUAGCUGGUCUGAGAGGAUGACCAGCCACACUGGGACUGAGACACGGCCCAGACUCCUACGGGAGGCAGCAGUGGGGAAUUUUGGACAAUGGGCGCAAGCCUGAUCCAGCCAUGCCGCGUGCAGGAAGAAGGCCUC